CAGCCGCCGCGGUAAUUCCGGCGGCCCGAGUGGCGGUCACUAUUAUUGGGCUUAAAGCGUCCGUAGCCGGGUUGGGAAGUCCUCCGGGAAAUCUGGCCGCUUAACGGUCAGAAUGCCGGAGGAUACUCCCAGCCUAGGGAGCGGGAGAGGCCGAGGGUAUUCCCGGAGUAGGGGGGAAAUCCUAUAAUCCCGGGAGGACCCCCUGUGGCGAAGGCGCUCGGCUGGAACGCGUCCGACGGUGAGGGACGAAGGCCAGGGGAGCAAACCGGAUUAGAUACCCGGGUAGUCCUGGCUGUAAACGAUGCGGACUUUGUGUCGGACAAGCUAUGAGCUUGUCCGGUGCCGGAGGGAAACCGUUAAGUCCGCCGCCUGGGGAGUACGGCCGCAAGGCUGAAACUUAAAGGAAUUGGCGGG
rnacentral:rRNA from 1 species